UGAUUUUGGAAUGAGAUGUUUGACGAGCAGGUGUCCACAUACUUUUCGUCAUGUAGUGUAGUUUGUCAUAAGAAGGUGACAGUAGUUGUAUUCCUUGACUGUCUGUGGUGUAACUCCUUCCAAACCCACCUACCAAGAGGUACUGACUGAUGUGGAGGAGAGGAGCCACAAAAGGCAACAGGAAUACAACACGUUCUGCCAGCAGACGAAACAGGAGAUAGCUGACAUCCACAGAGAUCGACUGAUCCAUAACAUGAAACUCAACAGGAUGAAGAAAGAGAUUUUCAGUGACCGCAUGGAGGUGAAGAUCGCCAGCGAGGGCAUCAUGAAUAAAUGGAACCACCCCCCGUACCGCCAGCGUCUGCAGAAGGGAGAGGGGAAAGAGAGGACAGAGGAGUCAGAGGAGGUGAAGAAUACACACCAACCUUCUGUUUCUCCAGAGAACCGAAAGACAGCUGGACAAUGACACUGCAACUUUCAGCACAGUGUCUCUCUCUCCCUCUCUCUCUCUUUCUCUUUAUGCCACUCAGAUCUACAGAACAUGAAGUCAGUGUUUUGUGCUACAUUAAUAUAUAUUUUACAUUUGUUUUCAUUGAAAUUCACCCAGAUGAUUUAAAUGCCAAUCUUCACACUUCACCAUUCACCAGUCACACUGUGAUUAUUUCCCUUCAGUCUGUUCUCCCUUUCUCAGACGCUGAUUUGAAACGGUGUGUGUGUGUCGGGCCAGAGCAGGGCUAGUGUGUUUUACAAGUCAUGAAGGCUCAGAAACAUCACAGAAACAUAUUACCUCUCAGAGACUCACAGCACACCAGAGGAGAGGGUGUGUGUGUGUGUGUGUGUGUGUGUGUGUGUGUGUGUGUGUGUGUGUGUGUGUGUGUGUGCCAGAAGAAGAAAACAAAUCUACAGUAAAAUGAAUGAUACAUACAGCAAACAGAAACAGUGAUAAAACAAUACAAUGCUAGAGCUUGGGACUAUAAGGUUCUAUCUGCAAAAAGAUCAUUCUGACAACUGGCUUUAAAGUUCCGAACCCUCAUUGGUUUGAAUAAUGUCAGCAAUUUUGAUAUUGUAUUAUUUUGAACUUAACAACAUGAAAUGGGGGUAUUUAAUGUUAUAUACAGGUAGAGAACAUUGAACAGAACAAGGCUAUGUCAAUAACUACAUUCAGACUAAAAUGCAGAUCUUCUAGUCUCAACAAUGACUUGUGAAAAGUAUUUUUUGAGAAUUUGAGUUCUUUCCACGUUCAUCUCUUUCCUGGUUCUGAGAAGCUAUGACAUUCUCCUCUGGUUCUGACAAGAUGUGACAUUCUCCUCUGGUUCUGAGAAGCUAUGACAUUCUCCUCUGGUUCUGAGAAGCUGUGACAUUCUCCUCUGGUUCUGAGAAGCUGUGACAUUCUCUGGUUCUGAGAAGCUGUUACAUUCUCCUCUGGUUCUGAGAAGCUGUGACAUUCUCCUCUGGUUCUGAGAAGCUGUUACAUUCUCCUCUGGUUCUGAGAAGCUGUUACAUUCUCCUCUGGUUCUGAGAAGCUGUUACAUUCUCCUCUGGUUCUGAGAAGCUGUUACAUUCUCCUCUGGUUCUGAGAAGCUGUUACAUUCUCCUCUGGUUCUGAGAAGCUGUUACAUUCUCCUCUGGUUCUGAGAAGCUGUUACAUUCUCCUCUGGUUCUGAGAAGCUGUGACAUUCUCCUCUGGUUCUGAGAAGCUGUUACAUUCUCCUCUGGUUCUGAGAAGCUGUUACAUUCUCCUCUGGUUCUGAGAAGCUGUUACAUUCUCCUCUGGUUCUGAGAAGCUGUGACAUUCUCUGGUUCUGAGAAGCUGUUACAUUCUCCUCUGGUUCUGAGAAGCUGUGACAUUCUCUGGUUCUGAGAAGCUGUGACAUUCUCCUCUGGUUCUGAGAAGCUGUUACAUUCUCCUCUGGUUCUGAGAAGCUGUGACAUUCUCCUCUGGUUCUGAGAAGCUGUGACAUUCUCUGGUUCUGAGAAGCUGUGACAUUCUCCUCUGGUUCUGAGAAGCUGUUACAUUCUCCUCUGGUUCUGAGAAGCUGUGACAUUCUCCUCUGGUUCUGACAGGCUGUGACAUUCUCCUAUGGUUCUGAGAAGCUGUGACAUUCUCUGGUUCUGAGAAGCUGUUACAUUCUCCUCUGGUUCUGAGAAGCUGUUACAUUCUCCUCUGGUUCUGAGAAGCUGUUACAUUCUCCUCUGGUUCUGAGAAGCUGUGACAUUCUCUGGUUCUGAGAAGCUGUUACAUUCUCCUCUGGUUCUGAGAAGCUGUGACAUUCUCUGGUUCUGAGAAGCUGUGACAUUCUCCUCUGGUUCUGAGAAGCUGUUACAUUCUCCUCUGGUUCUGAGAAGCUGUGACAUUCUCCUCUGGUUCUGAGAAGCUGUGACAUUCUCUGGUUCUGAGAAGCUGUGACAUUCUCCUCUGGUUCUGAGAAGCUGUUACAUUCUCCUCUGGUUCUGAGAAGCUGUGACAUUCUCCUCUGGUUCUGACAGGCUGUGACAUUCUCCUAUGGUUCUGAGAAGCUGUGACAUUCUCCUCUGGUUCUGAGAAGCUGUGACAUUCUCUGGUUCUGAGAAGCUAUGACAUUCUCCUCUGGUUCUGAGAAGCUGUGACAUUCUCCUCUGGUUCUGAGAAGCUGUGACAUUCUCCUCUGGUUCUGAGAAGCUGUGACAUUCUCCUCUGGUUUUGAGAUGCUGUGACAUUCUCCUCUGGUUCUGACAAGCUGUGACAUUCUCCUCUGGUUCUGAGAAGCUGUGACAUUCUCCUCUGGUUCUUAGAAGCUGUGACAUUCUCCUCUGGUUCUGAGAAGCUGUGACAGUCUCCUCUAGUUCUGAGAAGCUGUGACAUUCUCCUCUGGUUCUGAGAAGCUGUGACAUUCUCCUCUGGUUUUGAGAAGCGGUGACAUUCUCUGGUUCUGAGAAGCUGUGACAUUCUCCUCUGGUUCUCACCAUGUGAUGUGUUGACUUCCCCGUGAGAUAUCAAUAACUGUGCUUUGUCAGAAGUUUAUACUCCCCAGUGUUUCUGUUUCAGGAUCCCUAGAAAACACACACACACACGCACACGCACACGCACACACACAUACACACACACACCUCAGAAGUCCUUUGACCGACAAACAAUUAUCAAAACUAUGGAGCAAAACAAGAAGUUUACAUCAUCUGCUUUCAACUUCGCAGCCCAAACCACCCACACACGCACAUGCACACACACAGCCCAAACCACACUGGUAUUUAAAUGUUGAUUUGAGUAAUCUCUAACAUCCUCCUGUUGAUAAACAUAGUUAUGAUUGAUGAGCAAUAUUCUGGCUGCCUGAUGGACUGGUU